UACGUAGGGGGCAAGCGUUGUCCGGAUUUAUUGGGCGUAAAGAGCGUGUAGGCGGCCACACAGGUCAGCUGUGAAAACUCGAGGCUCAACCUCGAGACGUCGGUUGAAACCAUCUGGCUAGAGUCCGGAAGAGGAGAAUGGAAUUCCCAGUGUAGCGGUGAAAUGCGUAGAUAUUGGGAGGAACACCAGUGGCGAAGGCGGCUCACUGGACCGGAACUGACGCUGAGGCGCGAAAGCGUGGGGAGCAAACGGG
rnacentral:rRNA from 1 species